GUGUCGGUAGCGCAAUGGAUUAGAGCACGCGCCCUCGCAUAGGCUGAAUUGCGGGUUCGAGUCCCGCCUGAUGCA